GUGCGGGAGGUACCACGCCGAGAUGAAUAGUUAACCAUUAUGCAAAGCCAGAGAAGGCUGACCACGAAACAUCCAUGGAAUUCUAAUAUUCCCACUGACGAAGCACCUACAUAUUUUCAAAGGAAGCUUCCAACGAAAAUUCAAACUGCUUUCUUAGUAUGAAAGGGAUGCUGAGCAGCAACAGAAAGCUUUUUCAAGGAGCCAGGCACUGGGUUUUGCAACUCCCUCUCAAGUCUUGAAGAGCUUUCCACUACCGUUACUAAAUCCUGACAUCCUUGUGAGGCUGUGUAGCGGGGAGGUGGCAGGGGCUCGAGGAGAAGCACGUUGUAACGGUUUCACCAUCCGCAUGCAAGCUGGCAAGACAGCAAAAAGG